UAUAUAUAUCAUAUAAUAAAUAUGGCUUAUAAAUAAUAAAUAUAAAUAAUAUAAAAAUAUGUAUUAAAAUGAAAAUAGUAUAAUGUAAAUAAAUUCAAAUGUUCUCAUAGGCCAUAUUUAGAGCUGUAAUAAUGCAGAAGUGAAUAUGAAGUACUUCAAUAUUAUAAUCAUUGCUGCUUUUGUUAUUAAUUGAAUUUUGCUGAUGUACACAUCACUUUUCCAGUUGUAGUUUAUUCUCCACUAUUAUCCUGCCUGUCAGGGACCUGAGCACACACAGCAAAGGCCUAUGAGCUCUUUUCUUCUUUCUUUCUAUCUUUCUUGAUAUCUUUAGACACACCUAUUCUUUCAGAGCAAUUCACAUUUAUUUUUUCACUUGGCCUUUAAGAACAUUGUAUCUUUCCUUUGAUUAUGGUUUGUAAUAUUUCUUUGCCUGCACAUGAGUGUGGAAUUGCUACUUAAUUAUUUGAUGGUUUGACAAGCUUUUAAUACCUCAUAAUUAAUUUUAAGUAAUUAGUGUACAUAUACCUUAUGCUGGUACUAUCUUGAUAGAAUAAAAAGCAGUUAUACACAUUGCCAGAUAAUAACUAUUCCCAAUAAUUAUACAUUAAAAAUCUGGCUUUUAAGAAUUUGUGUUGCUUUAGAGUUUAUUUCUUACAUUGUCAAAGAUUUAUCAACUUGAUUAAAUAAACAGUGUUUCAUAGAAAAUAUAUAAUAAAGUUUAAGAAAGCAAACUGCUCUUUUGACAUCUUCACCCUCUUAUCUUACACCAUUUAUAUGAUGAUUUAUAAGCAAAGAUGUUACCUUGUUAAUUUGAAGUAGUGCUGUCUGUUUUAUUGUCUUCAAUUUAUUUUCAGUAAUAGAAAUAAUAAUUAUAAGUUAUCUCUUAUUUACAUAUUGAAACAAUUCCUUAUAGUAAGUCUUUAAUUAAAAAUUAAAAUUUUGGCACGCAUGGUUGGUGGUAUACACCUCUAACUGUAACCCUGGAGUGGCUUAUCCUGGAUGGUGGCAAGUUGGAGAUAUCACGGGGAACACGGGCAACUCCAUCUCAAACCAAACCAAACCAAAAGGAAAACCUAGUAAGACUUUCACUGAGAAAUGUGUCAGGUUUUCAAAAGGAGUACAGUAUGUUAUUUUUAGUUAAAAAUAAUAAGACAAUAUUUUAUAAAUUAUAUAGGCCAUUCUACAAAUUAAUGGCAAUUAAAUGUUUUACAGUAAAUUAGAAAGAAGGAAUACAUCUGACACUGAAUGAAUACAGCGAGAACAUCUAACACUUCUCACUGUUAAUUCUCCCCACUUGUAUUGGUGAAAAUUUUGCAUUCUUUAACUUUUUCAAUUAACAUCUAUAAUAAUCUGUUUCAAUUUAGUUGAAAAUAAUAAAAAUUAUAAUGCUUAAAUGUAUUUUUCCAAAAUGACUACUUAAACAUUAUUUUAUGAAUAGUAUUAUAAAAUAAAAAUAAGUUAGACUUUGUGUAAGGGAGAAGGACCUAAGAGCAAUGAGGGAAGAGACAGGAUCACGUGUUUUCACUUGUGUGCUAGAUCCAGACUUACAUAUAGCUAUCACCUGUCUGUCUAUCAUCUACCUAUACCUACCUAGCUAUCUAUGUGUAUGUGUCUUAUCUACUAGAUAUGUGUGUAUCUUAUUUAUAUCUGUGUAUCCCCUCUUCCCUACUUCCGUCUCUCCACCCUUUCUGUACAGUAGGGGACAUUAGAACAGAAGGACUCUAUUCGGGGUAGGAAAGUGACACUGGGAAGGCAGAGGGCAGAAGAGGAUGGCAAGCUCUUGAUGGACUGAGGAUUUAUGUUGUACUUACAUCAGUUGUAGCUCUAGAGAUCAGAAGAGUGUAUCCUCUGAGUCACUUGAGGAGUGUGAACUCUGGGUAGUCUCCCCUUGCAUAGUUAUACAAACACCAGCAUUUCCUAAUAACCAAGGAAACAUAAGUCCCUGGCUUUACUAUUUAUUAAGCACUUUUCUGUAGUUGUUUAUUAACUAGUAGUAACAAAAUAAGUUUCAUUUUAGUGUCUAUUGAACUGUGGAAUUAAACUUUCCUUUAAGAUCAGAGUUACCUGUUUGCUUUAUUUUAUGACAGCUUUGGACCAAAUGUAGUGAGCUUUGAUGAAAGAAUUUGCUUGUGUGUCCUGUCUAUAUGUCUAGAACUGAUGGCAGCCACACAGUGAUUCUCUUCUUCUAGAACAUGGAUAGCUCUCCUAUAAGAAAAUUGACUUCAAUUUGAUAUUUCUGAAAUUGGACUUUCCUUGUAAUUUCCUUUGAUAGACAACAAGAAUUUAUCUUUUCUGCAUAUACUGAGUAACUGUUCUUAGUUUAGCAGCAGUAGUAAUAAAAUCUUGUUAUGCUACGUUUUCAACCAGUGAAAUAUCUAACUUUAUAAAGUUCUCCUGUCAUAUGACUCAGUUGUGUCCUGUGUUACAGCGUGUGAUGUUUCAGUCUCAUGCUGAGAACACUGUCCUGAACUAAUGAAAGAAUUCAUAGUGUUGUUGAGAGUCUUGUCUUUAUCAUUGUGAGGUAUGUUUGCUUUCUUGCAGUCAUCGACAUAAGUUUUAAUUUUGAGCCUUGUGCACCAAAUAUUGGUAUAAUGAGAAACAUACCAGACCAAGAAUCAGAAGACCUAAGUAGCCUUUUAUCUCUGCCCUGUUAUUACAGUGAGGCCCUUACACUUUAUACUGCCCUGUUAUUACAGUGAGGUCCUUACACUUUAUACUGCCCUGUUAUUGCAGUGAGGUCCUUACACUUUAUACUGCCCUGUUAUUACAGUGAGGUCCUUACACUUUAUACGCUUCCAUUCUUUAGAGUAUGUCUUACAGCACUUUUUUCACAUUGAAAAAAGAUAAUAAGUAUAAAUUUAUUCUACAUAUUGAAAGCACUGUGAAACAGAUAGUUCUGCUUUAUUUUUCAGAUAGUUGCAUCUUAGUUCAUAUAUAAGUUAGCCAGUAUUUAGUCACUGUAAGAAUGAUUGAAUAGAUUUAUGAAGGAUUAUUUCUAAUUGAUAAAGCAAAGCCCCAUGUAAUGCCUUUGAAAAACAGUGCGUGCACGUGGGCAUGUGCAUGGGGUCUUAGUGCUCCUUGCUUAGUCUUCAGUCUGUUCCUCAGAAAUAAUUUUCCAGAAGCACUAUCUGCAAAAUAGAAGCAUGAAUGUAAAUUAUAUAAUGCCUUCUGUUCUUUUUUACAUAAUGGAAGAGCAUGCAGUAUUGUUUGAUGUACCUUGCUUCUCCUUUUUGAAAUGAACCUUAAGUUUCAUUUUAUAAUAGGACAUAUACAGUGAUUUUUUUCUACUUACUCAUUUAAAAGGUGGGUAUUUAUAUCAGACCAGGUGUUAUGAUGGUUACCUUUGGUUUUCAACUUGAUAUAAUCUAGAGAAUUCUGGAAAGAGAAUCUCAAUGAAUGUUGAGACAGUGUUCUCCUUUUUCUUCACUGGGUUGGCUGAUGAGCAUCCCUGUGGGGAAUUGUCUUAGACACUUGCUAUGGGAUGAUCCUGCCUACUGUGGUUGUAUCAUUCCCUUCUAAGCUGUUCCUGAACUAUGUGACAAUGAAAGAAUUGAGCCAAGCAAACCAGUGAGCCUGUGUACAUUCAUGUCUCUCUGCUGACAGUGGGUGUGAUGUGACCAGCCCUCUCUGCUCUGCAGCUGUGACUUUUCCAUAGUAAUGCGCUGAAACUUGGGAUUGAGGGGAAUUCCUUUCCCCAAAGUUGAUUUUUAUCAGGGUAUUUUAUCAUAGUAACAGAAAGAAACUGAAAGAGCCAUCCAAAACUAAAACAGAAGCUAAAACAGCUAUUUUAGAGCUUUACAGUACACCCAUGAGCAAAGUGCACAAUUUUUAUUGUACUUGUAUUGGUAACUUUUCUGGCUCUUGAGAUGAUGCCCAUACAAAAGCAACUGUGAGAAGGCAUGGGGGUAGAGCAGUCAGUCUUGGCAGGGAACACAAGCAACAGAUGGGAAAGGCUUGGCUGGAGCUGGAAACUGACUGAUCACAUUCUUUUUCCGAUUGUUGGCCCCCAGGGACUUUUACUUUCUCCAGCAAGGCUCCAACUCCUAAAGGUUUCAUGGCCUUCUAAACAGUGGAGGUCUCGGGUUUGAAUCCGUGAGCUGGGGGCUAGGGGGAACUCUCAUUUGGAUCAUCACAGUUCUUUCAGGGUCUUUUUUCCGUCGAUAGUAGAGA